AGUGAACGCUGGCGGUAGGCCUAACACAUGCAAGUCGAACGGCAGCACAGUAAGAGCUUGCUCUUACGGGUGGCGAGUGGCGGACGGGUGAGGAAUACAUCGGAAUCUACUUUUUCGUGGGGGAUAACGUAGGGAAACUUACGCUAAUACCGCAUACGACCUACGGUUGAAAGCAGGGGAUCUUCGGACCUUGCGCGAUUGAAUGAGCCGAUGUCGGAUUAGCUAGUUGGCGGGGUAAAGGCCCACCAAGGCGACGAUCCGUAGCUGGUCUGAGAGGAUGAUCAGCGACACUGGAACUGAGACACGGUCCAGACUCCUACGGGAGGCAGCAGUGGGGAAUAUUGGACAAUGGGCGCAAGCCUGAUCCAGCCAUACCGCGUGGGUGAAGAAGGCCUUCGGGUUGUAAAGCCCUUUUGUUGGGAAAGAAAAGCAGCAGGUUAAUACCCCGCUGUUCUGACGGUACCCAAAGAAUAAGCACCGGCUAACUUCGUG
rnacentral:rRNA from 1 species